GACGAACGCUGGCGGCGUGCUUAACACAUGCAAGUCGAACGGAAAGGCCCUGCUUUUGUGGGGUGCUCGAGUGGCGAACGGGUGAGUAACACGUGAGUAACCUGCCCUUGACUUUGGGAUAACUUCAGGAAACUGGGGCUAAUACCGGAUAGGAGCUCCUGCUGCAUGGUGGGGGUUGGAAAGUUUCGGCGGUUGGGGAUGGACUCGCGGCUUAUCAGCUUGUUGGUGGGGUAGUGGCUUACCAAGGCUUUGACGGGUAGCCGGCCUGAGAGGGUGACCGGCCACAAUGGGACUGAGAUACGGCCGAGACGCCUACGGGAGGCAGCAGUGGUGAAUAUUGCACAAUGGGCGGAAGCCUGAUGCAGCAACGCCGCGUGCGGGAUGAAGGCCUUCGGGUUGUAAACCGCUUUCGCCUGUGACGAAGCGUGAGUGACGGUAAUGGGUAAAGAAGCACCGGCUAACUACGUG
rnacentral:rRNA from 1 species